UUUCACUACUGUCUACUGUUGAAUCUAAAAUGCUGUGGCAAAGGCUGUUACUAGUAUGAAAAUAUGCUAAUAUUAAUCCUGUACUGUAGAGUGGCCAGUUGUUUUUGAUGGGUCGCUGUCUGCACCAUUAGGUUUUUGUAUAGGUUUCUGCCACCAAUCUCACUGCCUUCACUGCAGCUAGGUUGACAUGCCGGUAUUUGGAGACCUGAACCUCAACCUCCUUUGUCAAUGCUGGUCUUCUCUGCAGCAUCAGAGCCUCUCAGGAAACCAUUUGGAACAGAACUGCAUUUGGAUCUUUGGACUGAUUCAUUAUACUGCAUACAGUAGCUCUAUAUUCCGGUAUAGUACAUGUGUGGGCAUCAAUGAAUAAUAGAAGUAUAUUGUGGGAAAACAGUAAUGGAUGAAAAUUACUGUUAUUCAUUGACUGCAGUGUAAUUGUUUUUUUUGAUUUCACUGGAAACAUUUUCUUCACUCUUUGUACUUUUACAUUUUUUGGUCAUGCAAUCUAAUGUAAUAAGUUAUUAAAGAUGGCAUAACUGUGUGGUCAGAAAGAGGGGGAAUUUACAUUGCAUUCUGCUAAAAUUCCACAGAGACCACAAGCUUACAACAAUAGCUUACAUCAGCUUGCAAAACUAUAACAGCAGAAGACAGCCCAUAGAUACAUUUACACAGAUUAAAAGCAAAGAAAACUCUCCCAGCUGCUCCCCCAGUCCCUCAGAUUCCUGAAUGCAGAUUAACCGUAAUGAGCUGCUUUUCCAUUAGUCCCAUGACUGGUUACCGGCAGAUAAAUGCCCUUUGGAACAGAUGCUGAGAUUUAUAUUCGCCUUCAUUCAAAUAAGAGCUUGUGGUGCCCCAGUGGAAUACACAGGGGGCUCAUGCAAGCUGCUGCAAGCUUCAGCUGCUGUUAUUAUUAGGAACAGGUGACCAGUGCAAUGAGGAACCGUUUAACUGAAUGGCAGGUUUCUGCCUGCCAGUGAAGCUCUGAAUGACUAGCAGAGAAGCCAGGGAUCAAGCAGCUGAAUUUCCCUCCCGAAGAUGGCAUGGGUUCCCCCUGGGCGCUUCCAGAUCUCUGGUCACCUCACUAGUUCUCUUUUGCAAAUGUAUGUUGUUGUUUUUUUUAUUUAUUUAUUGCCCAUAUUAUGUGAUUGUGUAUAUGCUGCGAUGCAUUGCCCUCCUGUCCGGAAUGUUGCCCUGCCUUUGUGCUUUGUAACACUGAUCAUCUGCUGUUCUUUUAAUAAUUCUGCACAAGCUUCUAGGAAUCAUUUUGGCAACAGCAAAAUGCCAGCAGUUUGUGAUGGAGUACAGAGAUGGAGGGGAGGGGGCUGUGAGCCUGUCCCCAUAGCGAUAGGUUUGCCCAGGAGAAUCCUGUCCAGUCAUUCAGAAACAAGCUGCAAUUCCAGGAGAAAUGAGAAAAACUAUAAUAACAAUGAUAAUAUAUCUCACUUCAUUCAGGAACCAUUUUCAGGAUCCAGGAACUCACUCAGAUACAAAAAGGAAAUGUAACCAUUAAAUGCUUAUUUGUUGCCAUGUGUAUUGCACACUGCACAAACUCCUCACAUACCAGUGGUAACAUUUUAUUUUAGUUACCACUCAUACAAAAUGCAUAAGGUAAUGGAGUCUCCAAAACAUUUGUCCAUACAGCCAUCCAUCCUCUAAGAGCAUAUCCAACAAACUAUCACAUGAGUGGAGGGUGGCCUGGAGCAUCUCCCAGGCAACGGGGGACACCAGAAAGCACAGUCCAUCACAGAGACUGGAGGCCUCCCAUUCCAGGCCAAACACUAAUACUAUGGUAAUACUGAGGCACCAACUCACUCACCUAAUUGCAAGCCUCUGGACUGUGGGAGGAGACCCACACAGUGUAGGAAAUCAAUGCAAACUCCAGACACAACCAGGACAGGAGUGUGACUGAAACCACACUCCAUGCCUUCCCAACCAAAUCACAUGCUUUAAUAAUUUAAUUAAUUGAUACUGUUGGGGUGCCCAGGGAUCUGGGGAUUAAGAGCCUUGCUCAAGGAGCCUGUUUAAUUAACUGGCUGUCAUUUGUAUUGACUGUCAUUUGCUUCAGCAACACCAAUAUGGAUGCAGUUAUUAACAGCGGUGGAUAGUUUAUGUCCAAAAAGUAAGAAUCCAGACCAAAAUUUUGUUUCAACCAACCAGUUGAGUAUUCUGUGACUUUAUAUACUGAACUGGUUGGUUGAAACAAAAUACUGGUCUGGGUUUUUACUUUCUGGACCUGUAGCCUGUACUACGAAGAAGGGUUAGUAGCUUAUCAGGGUAAAUUGUGGAUUUAAGAUAGUCUGGGAAAAACGUAAGUAAACGAAUAUGAAGUCCAUUUAAAUACGUACCUUAAAUCCGACAAGUUACCCAAAUAAGUCAAUAACCCCGCUUCGUAGUACAGGCUACUGAACUACCCACUUUUGGUUAUUAACAGUAAUCCAGCUCCUCUCCUUAUCUAGUGCCAGUUCUUGGUAAAUCUGAAAGCUACCCCAGAAAGCACAGGGCAGAGAGCAGAGCACAUUCACACACUCAGUCACACACUAUGGGCACUGAAGUAGCACUUCACAUAAUCCCACACGUUUGUAUUGUGGUAGAAACUGGAGUUUCCAGAAAAAACGCAUCAUGCACAUGAAGAGAUGUACAGUAGUGGACAGACCACAAUCCCUGGUCUUGUCAUGGGAUCAGCAUUAUGUUUGGCACUAGGACUAACCUUUGUUAGUAGUUCAAAGACAAAUACAAGUUAGUCAGCUGACUUAGGAAUGUCAGGGAAUCCCUCUGAACCAGCUGUAGUCUGUAGCUUGGUAAUGGAGGUCUGCUCUGGCCUGAUUGGCCUGUUGCCACCGUUACCCACAACAGGAAAAGUAGUAUCACAAGAUAGAGAUGAAAUUCCCCUUAUUAGGAAUGACUUACCUUUCCUUUCCCAACGCCUCCCCCCCCCCCCCCCCCAACAAAAAAAAAUGCUAAUAAUAGAAUAUUAAUAACACUAGACCAUUAAAAAAAUGAAAGGAAAAGUAUUCUACAUUUUCACAUUUGCAUGUUAUAAAGGCUGAUUGCCCAGCUUGGUCUGUAAGUUUUGGCAAUGAAGAGAGUAAAAACUGUGACUUUAUGAGCUCCUGGAUGGCCUUCGUAAUGGAGCCUUCAGAACGUUUGAAGUUUGUUAGUUAAACAGUGUUUCCUUUUCUGUUAACAAUAAUUCAUUUAAAAUUAGCUCUGCUUCUACUGGGAGAAAAAUAAUGAGGAUAUAUUCAGCAAUCAUUUCCCUGAUAAACUUAGCUCGAAUUAACCAGUUUUGCAAGUUUCGAGAUUAGAGAAAAAUGUUUAAAUGUCAUUUAUGAGAGACAUCUCCCCACUGAUUAGGCUAGAUAAUGUAAUAAGAUGUUUGACAUCGGAAUCAUCUUCAAUGUUCACAUGUCGUUUAAAAGUAAAAUUCCACACGUCAUCCCUAAAACAAUACAUUGUCACAAUACUCAUAUGUCUAUGACACAUAAACUAAACAUUAUAUUUGUUUUGUUCCGUCCACUUUUGUUUAUUAAAGCAAAUUACAGAAUAGUGAUUGCUUCAGCUUUAAGACUCAUAAUGGAAGAAAUUGCAAAACUGAUAGUAGAUAGUAGGUAAACCUUUGCAAAUAGCUGAAGGAGCUACUGAGAAGGAGCUAAGUAAUGAAUAACACAAGUGAAACACUGAUCUCAUGUUUGUUUAUCAUUAAUGAAUUAUGACGCAUCUUUUAUCACAAGUAGCUACUAUAUUUCUUCAAGAUUUGUACUUCAGUAUUAAACGAGUACUAUUUGUGCCCCCUCAAGUAAAGUGUUACUGUAUCAUGUCUAGGGUGGCAGUCCACUGCUAGCAAUUUGCGUCAGCAAUAUAUAAAAUGCACAUAAACACAAACUCUUCACUGAUGAAACUACCGACAGAAUCUAACCCACAACCCUUUGGCUAUAGCAUAAUUACACAAUGCACCACACCACCAUCACAUGGGCAUGAAUGUUCCCAUCACCAGAUUCAAUGCUGCUCACAUCAAUGUAAUGAGAAAAAAACUAGGUGGAUCAUCGAAUGUUAUAUUUGUAAAUAUCCUGUCAUAAACCACAAGUAUUUUGUUAAUUACCCAGAACUGGAAAAAGUGCAGGUGUGACAGCGAAUAUAUCAAAUAUCUGCUAAAGAUGAAUUACUGUAGUUUGUCUCUUAGGCUGAAACGUUAUGGAUGUGCAUGUAUUUAUUUUAUAUAAGUAAUCCAUUUUGUUUAUGUGAUUCUUGGCAAAUCUCCUGUAACACUAGAUAAAUGGCAACACAUAUAUUU